ensembl:lncRNA novel transcript
AAGAAGACUGCUUUUGGUGUUUGCUUUAACCUGAUGUCCCCAUUAUAAUAAUUCAGAAGGAAAGGCCUGCUCAUAUAAUUUCCUACGGCCUCAGGCCAGAGACAGCCAUACUUACAGGACUGGAGGCUGCCACCACUGACAUGUUCCACCAGAUUCUUGUUGGGCUCAAGAAGCAUUCAAGCUUCAUCCCCCUUCGUAUUUAUGAAAUCCGGAGGUACUGGAGCAGCGCUGUAUGUCCAGCAUCUGGCAUUGUUCAAUCAAGAUGUUAGCUGGGACAGAAGACAUAAGUCAGAACGCUGGAAGAAACUGGGUCCCAAUAUUAUAAUAAUCAAUAAAGACAAAAUAUAUUUAUAGUUUA